CACUUGAAUGCCUAGUUCAGGAGUCAGCAACCUAUGGCACAUGUGCCAAGCAUGGCAUGCCAGGUGCCUUUACUCAAGGCUGCUAGAGCCAAACAGGCUCUGGCCUAUCAGGAGUCCCAGUGAAACUUCAGAUAUCUGCUAGUGAAAAAAGAUGGCGAGGGACAAUCUUCAAUUUAAGCAUUGCAGCACGUAGAUACCUAGCACUUGUGAACGGAAAUCCACACUGGAGUAGAGCAG